rnacentral:lncRNA from 1 species
GUGGUAUAAGAUAUUUAAAAGGUUAGGGAUUUAUUUGGCUUUUUUUAGGAAGUCGAGACUUUUUGAGUUUAUUCUUUCUUUAGGUGGUAAGGAUAAGUUUAGAUUCUUUCUUUAGGAAGUCGAGGUUUUGCUAUGAUUCGAAAUGCAGUGAUGUGGUAUAUCUGGUUGAGGGUAAUGAUUAGUUGUUUUUCGGAUCAUCAAUAAACACGCAAGAGGUGGAGUAU